CUCCAAGCCAAAAGUUGCUGACUGUAGUUUGGUUGAUAUUUCAUCAAGCUCAGUUUGCUUUCUUUUUAACUGAUCAGAUUUGUCAUGCUUCUUCUUCAAAGCCAAGACUUCAGUCCACUUUUCAUCAUAGUUUUGGAGAAUUGAAGAGAGAUCGUCUGAACUCCGGUCACGAGUG